ensembl:lincRNA
CUCAGACACCGGCUUAAAGACUUACAGGAAGUUGUCUGAGUGCAGCAUCCUUCCGGAGCAUUCCAGCAUUUCUAUUCUUAUACUUUUCUUGUCAAUAUAUAAUUCAGGAAGAAGCAGGACUUUCAUGGCAUUUUGGAUUUUCCAGGUAUUCAACUACAUUUUUACAGGAACCGCUCUUCUCUGUACUCUUAGUUCAUCAGUUUAGAUGUUAUUAACUAAAUUGCAUAAUCGUCAUUGCAAGUGCGGCUGUCAGCAACACCUGACACUCAGUGCCACCCAGCUCAGCUGCCAACAGCCGAAGGGGACGGGUCUCCAUGAGGGCUGCUAACUACCAUGUGGCCUCUGAGAAGAUUUUCCAUCAAGGGGAGAGCACACUUUACUCUGCACAUAUCAAGCAGAACAUGGUCAAGACUGACUCUAAAGACACUUAUUUCCUGCCUCAGAACAAAUUCAAAUGGCAAAUUUAACUUUGGGUUAGAAAAAAUGUGGCCUGCAACCACCGAUUGCUGCCAUCUGAAUCGUCCAAACGGUCCUCGGGAAAACCAAUGCUCAUUUGAUUGAUUUCUCCUGGUACCAAGACAGAUUAUGAUUCAUUGGCAAGAUGUCCCCUGCAGUUUGUAGAAUAUUUUCAAGCAAUGAUCAUGCUGAGGAGGCCUCUGGGUCCAAAGACAGUUUCUAAACGAUAUAUCAUGAGCUUUGUUGCUGAGCAAAGACUGCAUUUUGAGAUCUGCGAGCUCUGCUUGCUCCUGGCUUAAGCAGGACGAAGAACCUCAGCCAAUUUCACCAAAAUCAGCCCCAGGCUUUGACCUUUUCCACAAACUGCAGUUCUGAACUUUUGCUGCACUUGGGAAGUAGAAUUCCCUUGUCAUGGUUUAUGUCUGUGUCCCCCAGGCCUCAUAAGUUUGCAUUGUGCAUUUGUGAUGCUUCAUUGUCUAGUGCUUGGAUUGAUGAUGUCAGUGCUCCACCCACAUAGGGGUGGAGCCAGGAUGUGAUGUAAUGGCAGGAAGAAGGUGUGUCUUGCUCUUUGCUGGUUCCUGCUUGCUGCUGGCAGCAGCCAUGAAGUGUGGCCCAGCCAUGCCCACCUGCCUUGGAGCCAACAGAGUAUGGACUGAAACCUCCAAAACCUGUAAGAAAUAAACCUUUCCUUUCCCAGGUUUGGGCUGCAGGUGUUUUGUCUCAGCGACGAGUAAAAAAUAACUAAGACACCCCUCCUCACUAAACAUGGCAGUUUUUGCAGGAA